rnacentral:rRNA from 1 species
CAGUAGCCACGGUAAUACGGAGGGUGCAAGCGUUAUCCGGAUUCACUGGGUUUAAAGGGUGCGUAGGCGGAUCUGUAAGUCAGUGGUGAAAUCCCCAGGCUUAACCUGGAAACUGCCGUUGAUACUAUAGGUCUUGAAUUUUGUGGAGGUUAGCGGAAUAUGUCAUGUAGCGGUGAAAUGCAUAGAUAUGUCAUAGAACACCAAUUGCGAAGGCAGCUGGCUACACAACUAUUGACGCUGAGGCACGAAAGCGUGGGGAUCAAACAGGAUUAGAGACCCCAGUAGUCCCUGUCUCUUAUAC